ACUGGGAUAACCCUGGGAAACUGGGGAUAAUACUAGAUAGGCAAUUUUUCCUGGAAUGGUUUUUUGUUUAAAUGUUUUUUCGCCUAAGGAUGGGUCUGCGGCCGAUUAGGUAGUUGGUUAGGUAACGGCUUACCAAGCCAUUGAUCGGUACGGGUUGUGAGAGCAAGAGCCCGGAGAUGGAACCUGAGACAAGGUUCCAGGCCCUACGGGGUGCAGCAGGCGCGAAACCUCCGCAAUGUGAGAAAUCGCGACGGGGGAUCCCAAGUGCCAUUCUUAACGGGAUGGCUUUUCAUUAGUGUAAAGAGCUUUUGGAAUAAGGGCUGGGCAAGACCGGUGCCAGCCGCCGCGGUAACACCGGCAGCUCUAGUGGUAGCAGUUUUUAUUGGGCCUAAAGCGUCCGUAGCCGGUUUAAUAAGUCUCUGGUGAAAUCCUGUAGCUUAACUGUGGGAAUUGCUGGAGAUACUAUUAGACUUGAGACCGGGAGAGGUUAGAGGUACUCCCAGGGUAGAGGUGAAAUUCUGUAAUCCUGGGAGGACCGCCUGUUGCGAAGGCGUCUAACUGGAACGGUUCUGACGGUGAGGGACGAAAGUUAGGGGCGCGAACCGGAUUAGAUACCCGGGUAGUCCUAACUGUAAACGAUGCGGACUUGGUGUUGGGGUGGCUUUGAGCUGCUCCAGUGCCGAAGGGAAGCUGUUAAGUCCGCCGCCUGGGAAGUACGGUCGCAAGACUGAAACUUAA
rnacentral:rRNA from 1 species